rnacentral:rRNA from 1 species
GACGAACGCUGGCGGCGUGCCUAAUACAUGCAAGUAGAACGCUGAGGGAGGAGUUUGCUUCUCUGGAUGAGUUGCGAACGGGUGAGUAACGCGUAGGUAACCUGCCUGGUAGCGGGGGAUAACUAUUGGAAACGAUAGCUAAUACCGCAUAAUAGUAGAUGUUGCAUGACAUUGGCUUAAAAGGUGCAGUUGCAUCACUACCAGAUGGAGCUGCGUUGUAUUAGCUAGUUGGUGGGGUAACGGCACACCCAGGCGACGAUACAUAGCCGCACUGAGAGGGGGGUCUGCCACACUGGGACUGAGACCCGCCCCAUACUCCUACAGAAGUCAGCAAUAGGGAAUCUUCGGCAAUGGACGGAAGUCUGACCGAGAAAGGCCGCGGCAGUGAACAGGGUUGUCGGAUCGUAGAGCUCGGUUUUAAGGGAAGAACGCGUGUGAGCGUGGAAAGUUCCCACUGUGACGGUAACUUACCAGAAAGGGACGGCUAACUACGUG